rnacentral:sRNA from 1 species
AUGAAGUGUAGUCAGGGGCGGGAUAACCAGCCCUCUCGAUUGUUGAAGUAGCACGGACAGACUAUACGUUGAAUGGUCGUUCCCCAUUCGACGCGAACACAAGCUCUUCGCAUCAAUCUUCGAGGGUAGCGCUGCUACCCUUUUUUUCCGGAGUAGA